GCCAGGUGUGGUGGCGCAUGCCUGUAAUCCCAGCUACUCAGGAGGCUGAGACAGAGGAAUUGCUUGAACCUGGGAGGCAGAGGCUGCAGUGAGCUGAGACCAUGCCGCUGCACUCCAGUCUGGGCAACAGAGCAAGACUCUGUCUCAC
rnacentral:SRP_RNA from 2 species